CAUGCAAGUAGGUUACUUUAACGCUACUUAUGUUCUUAGUCAUUCCUUACUCUUUGUCAUUUAAUGCUUACUUUUAGCUCUUAGCUAUUCCUUUCUUGCAACUUUUCUUUAGCUAUUCUUUGUCACUUAGCUAUUCUUUACUCUUUAGCUAUUCAUUAUCGUUUAGCUGUUCUUUACUCUUAACAUUCUUGAACCAUGCUAUAUCUUAGCCUUUGGCAUUCUACUCUAAGGUCACUUUACCUUAGUCAACAAAGCCACCCGACUCGGUCUUGAGUCAAUCAAUCGCGGAUAGUCCGCGCACUGUCUAGCUCGAGGUGAAGGAACUCUCACAUGCACCUCAGCUGGCAACAGCUCACCGUACUCCUGUCCUAGCCGUCUGGCGGCGAACGAAUCGCACCUCACCCAACAACGGCCUAGGUUCAAUGACUUAGUCACCCGGCGGCGAAAUCGUCGCACACACGCCACGACAGUGGUUCAGUCAACAGGCGGUAGGAUCCACAAACUGGCUAACCAUCCGGCGGCGAAAUCGUCGCACACACGCCACGACAAUGGUUCUCUAGCCCCUGGGCGGCGAAAUCGUCGCACACACCCGACACCACUUUGGGUGUAGCAGCAAGCAGCGGGAUUCCGGAAUCCAUAUCACAUCAACCAAGGGUUGGUCUUAACCCUAUGGAACUGACCUCUCUAGGUCUAAGCAUUUAUCUCCUAGGUCCAAUCGACUCUAGGUUCAUUGUCCUUUACACAACCUAAGUUAUUACUUUAGGUUUAUUGCUUUCACAUUCUUAACCUAGGUUUAUUACACUAGGAUCAUCAUUCUUUUCCAACCUAGGUUUACUUGACUCUAGGUUAAGCAGCUUUCAUUUCACAACCUAUGUCCUUUACAUUAGGUUCAACAUCCCUCUUAUUUAACCUAUGUUCUUUACAUUAGGUUCAACAUCUCAUUUAUUUAACCUAUGUCCUCGACACUAGGUUUAAUGCCACUCGAUCUAUAGGUUUAUUCAUGUCCACCUAUAUAUGUUCCUUACUUAGCAUUCUUAACAUGCACUUGCAUUUACUAUUCUUAUAUCAUGCUUAUCACUUAUACUUUAGCAUAGCAUCAUUCACUUUAAUCAUUCUAGGGUUAUCAACCUAGUUUCAUGCACAUUUAUCUCACAAUGUCAACAUGCAUUCUAUAUCUCAUUUUAACUUAUAUCAUCAAUAUGCAUUUCAUUCUAUGCAUUAUGCUUACAUGCAUUCACAUAAUUAUCUAGCUUUAUUCAACAUGCUCAUAAUGCAUUCUAUUUAGCAAUUACAUCACACUAUCAUCAUGCAUUAUUUAGCUACAUGCAUCAUUUACAUUUAUAUGCAUCAACUUUAGCAUCUACAUCAUAUUAUGCAUUUCUACUUAGCAUCAACUAUACCGAUCAUCAACAUGCAUCAACAUGAAAGUCUAAUAAUUAGACAUAAAGGCGACCUAGUCGCUUCGGUAAACCAACCCACCUUAACACGCGCUCCGAUUGCUUGUAGUCACUUGCAAUCGGCCUCCCGCGGCAACCGUUGCCCGGUUUGGCCCGAACUCUUGCGCGACUUCCAAACGACCUCCGAACCGCGAUCCGUCUUUUCCGGAGUUUAUUCCUUGACUCCAAGGUGCUCCGGUUCCGAUCUCAU
rnacentral:lncRNA from 1 species